rnacentral:rRNA from 1 species
AUGUAUAUCCUACCGGAGGGCGUCCAUGGAUCCUUUGAUAAGGAGCUUGCUGGGUUCUUCUGGCAGGCCGCCAAUGGGCGCCAGAAAUAUCACGUGGUCAAGUGGGCGGACAUUUGUAUGCCUAAGGGCCAGGGUGGCCUGGGCAUUGUGGCCUCCCGUCAUCUGAACUUCGCGCUCAUGUUGCGAUGGGUGUGGAGGAUAUUGCGUGGAGAGGGUGGCUUAUGGCUACAGCUCAUUCAUAACAUGUUCUCGCUCAGCAGGAUCACAAUUUUGGCGAUCCAUCCAAAGGAUCAAGGAGGACAUCCGUUUAGACAUUUCCUUCUCAAAAGGGAAUGGGGACGGGACCCAAUUUUGGUUUGA